rnacentral:rRNA from 1 species
UACGUAGGGCGCAAGCGUUGUCCGGAAUUAUUGGGCGUAAAGAGCUCGUAGGCGGCUUGUCACGUCGGAUGUGAAAGCCCGGGGCUUAACUCCGGGUCUGCAUUCGAUACGGGCAGGCUAGAGUUCGGUAGGGGAGACUGGAAUUCCUGGUGUAGCGGUGAAAUGCGCAGAUAUCAGGAGGAACACCGGUGGCGAAGGCGGGUCUCUGGGCAGUAACUGACGCUGAGGAGCGAAAGCUAGGGGAGCAAAUGGG